CACCUCUCCUAGCCUCAGGAUCUUCAUGGGUAACAGAUGACGCUCCUCCCAAGAUAUUGGUAUGCGUACAGUAGUGCCCUGGACCGACCCCAUGCAAGCUGUUGCUCUUCAGCCUCCUCUACAAGGUGGUUGGUCUCUUCCCGUGAAACCUCCAGCUCUCUCCAUCUUCCGCACCCCUGAGGCCGCAGUCUCUUCUGUAACGGGGCACGCUCGUCUCCUGCGCUGUUCCCCGAUCGCCACCAGGAGGCGCCCCUUGCUCGCUGAAGCCGGUCGGGCUAAUAACUCCUCGGGGCCGGGGCGGGCUGCCCCUUUGCGCAGGGCGGUGGAGGGUGCGGGCUGCGCCGGGCUCCCCACCUGAGGUCGGUACCUCGAAGCGCCCGCUCGGCCGCGCGCCCCUUGCCCCAGCCCAGCGCCGCUCCCCAACCGGGCGCCUCCAGCUCGGCCCCGGCCCCCGGGCGGCAGCAAGUUUGCCCCCGGCCGCGCGGACCCGCGCCCGCCCCUCGCGCCGCCGCCCCCGCCGUUCACGCAGAUCCACCGUCCCCGCGCCUGGGCUACCCGGCGAGGCUCUAAGGGGCACAGGGGGGCGUGCGGCUGCCCCCGGGGCGCCGGCCGGGCCCCGAAGGGGCGCCCCCCCGGCCGGCCGAGCGCGGGGCCGUCGCAGUUCCCCGGCUGUCCGCCGGGCGGCGCCCCGUGCCUCACCGCGCUCCUCCCGCGCUCCCCGCGCCGGGCUCGCUCGCAGCCGGACACAGACUCUGCCUUCAGCUGCCGGCGGAUCGGGCUGGAGCCGCCGUGGCUGCUGCGGAAGAGAAAAAAACGGCGAGCAGCAGCCCCGCGGCCGGCCCAGCAGCGCCCGGCCCACGGCACAGCCCCCGGAGUGCGGAGCUGCCCAGACCCCCAGCCAGCCACUGUGACCCCCAAGGCAUCCACUAUCCUGACUUCCACAGAGACAUGUCAUGCCCAGGCCAGCAGGGGGCUCCAUGAGGAUUCAUAGAAGAUGCCCCGCGUCUCGGCGCCUUUGGUGCUGCUUCCUGCUUGGCUCGUGAUGGUCGCCUGCAGCCCGCACUCCCUGAGGAUCGCUGCUAUCUUGGACGACCCCAUGGAGUGCAGCAGAGGGGAGCGGCUCUCCAUCACCCUGGCCAAGAACCGCAUCAACCGCGCUCCUGAGAGGCUGGGCAAGGCCAAGGUCGAAGUGGACAUCUUUGAGCUUCUCAGAGACAGCGAGUACGAGACUGCAGAAACCAUGUGUCAGAUCCUCCCCAAGGGGGUGGUCGCUGUCCUCGGGCCAUCGUCCAGCCCAGCCUCCAGCUCCAUCAUCAGCAACAUCUGUGGAGAGAAGGAGGUCCCUCACUUCAAAGUGGCCCCAGAGGAGUUUGUCAAGUUUCAGUUCCAGAGAUUCACAACCCUGAACCUCCACCCCAGCAACACUGACAUCAGCGUGGCUGUAGCUGGGAUCCUGAACUUCUUCAACUGUACCACCGCCUGCCUCAUCUGUGCCAAAGCAGAAUGCCUUUUAAACCUAGAGAAGCUGCUCCGGCAAUUCCUCAUCUCCAAGGACACGCUCUCCGUCCGCAUGCUGGAUGACACCCGGGACCCCACCCCCCUCCUCAAGGAGAUCCGGGAUGACAAGACCGCCACCAUCAUCAUCCAUGCCAACGCCUCCAUGUCCCACACCAUCCUCCUGAAGGCAGCCGAACUUGGGAUGGUGUCAGCCUAUUACACAUACAUCUUCACUAAUCUGGAGUUCUCACUCCAGAGAAUGGACAGCCUUGUGGAUGAUCGUGUCAACAUCCUGGGAUUUUCCAUUUUCAACCAAUCCCAUGCUUUCUUCCAAGAGUUUGCCCAGAGCCUCAACCAGUCCUGGCAGGAGAACUGUGACCAUGUGCCCUUCACUGGGCCUGCGCUCUCGUCGGCCCUGCUGUUUGAUGCGGUCUACGCUGUGGUGACUGCGGUGCAGGAACUGAACCGGAGCCAGGAGAUCGGCGUGAAGCCCCUGUCCUGUGGCUCGGCCCAGAUCUGGCAGCACGGCACCAGCCUCAUGAACUACCUGCGCAUGGUAGAAUUGGAAGGUCUUACCGGCCACAUUGAAUUCAACAGCAAAGGCCAGAGGUCCAACUAUGCCUUGAAAAUCUUACAGUUCACGAGGAAUGGUUUUCGGCAGAUCGGCCAGUGGCACGUGGCAGAGGGCCUCAGCAUGGACAGCCGCCUCUACGCCUCCAACAUCUCAGACACACUCUUCAACACCACCCUGGUCGUCACCACCAUCCUGGAAAACCCGUAUUUAAUGCUGAAGGGGAACCACCAGGAGAUGGAAGGCAAUGACCGCUACGAGGGCUUCUGUGUGGACAUGCUCAAGGAGCUGGCAGAGAUCCUCCGAUUCAACUACAAGAUCCGCCUGGUUGGGGAUGGCGUGUAUGGCGUUCCCGAGGCCAACGGCACCUGGACGGGAAUGGUCGGGGAGCUGAUCGCUAGGAAAGCAGAUCUGGCUGUGGCAGGCCUCACCAUUACAGCUGAACGGGAGAAGGUGAUUGAUUUCUCUAAGCCAUUCAUGACUCUGGGAAUUAGCAUUCUUUACCGCGUUCAUAUGGGACGCAAACCCGGCUAUUUCUCCUUCCUGGACCCGUUUUCUCCAGGCGUCUGGCUCUUCAUGCUUCUAGCCUAUCUGGCUGUCAGCUGUGUCCUCUUCCUGGUGGCUCGGUGGGCAUUCACGCUGAUCAUCAUCUCAUCCUACACGGCCAACCUGGCAGCCUUCCUGACCGUGCAACGCAUGGAUGUGCCCAUUGAGUCAGUGGAUGACCUGGCUGACCAGACCGCCAUUGAGUAUGGCACAAUUCACGGAGGCUCCAGCAUGACCUUCUUCCAAAAUUCCCGCUACCAGACCUACCAACGCAUGUGGAAUUACAUGUAUUCCAAGCAGCCCAGUGUGUUUGUGAAGAGCACAGAGGAGGGAAUCGCCAGGGUGUUGAAUUCCAACUAUGCCUUCCUCCUGGAGUCCACCAUGAACGAGUACUAUCGGCAGCGCAACUGCAACCUCACUCAGAUUGGGGGCCUGCUGGACACCAAGGGCUAUGGGAUUGGCAUGCCAGUCGGCUCGGUUUUCCGGGAUGAGUUUGAUCUGGCCAUUCUCCAGCUGCAGGAGAACAACCGCCUGGAGAUACUGAAGCGAAAAUGGUGGGAAGGAGGGAAGUGCCCCAAGGAGGAAGAUCACAGAGCUAAAGGCCUGGGAAUGGAGAAUAUUGGUGGAAUCUUUGUGGUUCUUAUUUGUGGCUUAAUCGUGGCCAUUUUUAUGGCUAUGUUGGAGUUUUUAUGGACUCUCAGACACUCAGAAGCAACUGAGGUGUCCGUCUGCCAGGAGAUGGUGACCGAGCUGCGCAGCAUCAUCCUGUGUCAGGACAGUAUCCACCCCCGCCGGAGGCGCGCCGGAGUCCCGCCGCCCCGGCCCCCAAUCCCGGAGGAGCGUCGGCCCCGGGGCACCGCGACGCUCAGCAACGGGAAGCUGUGCGGGGCGGGGGAGCCCGACCAGCUCGCGCAGAGACUGGCGCAGGAGGCCGCCCUGGUGGCCCGCGGCUGCACGCACAUCCGCGUGUGCCCCGAGUGCCGCCGCUUCCAGGGCCUGCGGGCACGGCCGUCGCCCGCCCGCAGCGAGGAGAGCCUGGAGUGGGAGAAGACCACCAACAGCAGCGAGCCCGAGUAGCCCCGGCGGCUGCAGGACGCGCGGAGGCCGGCCGGGCGGGAGGGGCGGGGCGGGCGCCGCUGUCCGCCGAGAGCUCGGACUUGUACAGCGUAGACACCUCUCCGGAUUUCGGAUCCAGUCACUUUUUUUCAAAAAGAUCAAAGAGCCUGACGCCCCAGCCAGAGACCGCGCCCGGUCAGGGAGCGGGGUCCACCCGGAGACGUUGCACCCAAGUGGCAAAGGACCCCUCUUCUCCCAGCGGGCCUUUCCCUCUCGCCAAAAUAACGGAGUAUAGGGUGUGGGGUCCCUGGCUAGACCAGUCCAAUGAAUUGGUGGAAUCAUCAGUUGAAUUUCCCCCUAGGAAGGGGCCAAUGUACCCUCCGUCUAGUUCGUUCAGAAAAAAAAAAAAUUAAACUAAACAGGGAAGUUUUCUUUUCUGGAUUUGUAUAUUUUUGUUCAUGUUUUUUUCUUUUUUCUUUCCUCCUCUUUUCUUCUUUGUCAUCUUCUCAGUUCUGUUCAUUUGUUUUGUGGUUUUUGAAGGGGGAGGCUGGGUUAGGGAAUGGAAGUCUAAAUAAUCCCUAUUUCUUCUUUUUCCUGACCUUUGGAAUAUUGAGUCACCAGUGCAUCCGAUUUCAGGUGCUUAACUCUUUUCUGUGUGGUGAGUGAGGGGAACAGGAGAAGGGGUCUUGGGGAGAAUCAGAUGGAGAGCCUCAAAUAAAAGUCCAUUGAAGUAAAUUUUUAGAUGCCA
rnacentral:lncRNA from 13 species